rnacentral:rRNA from 1 species
UACGGGGGGAGCGAGCCUUAUUCGGAAUGAUUAGGCGUAAAGGGUCCGUAGGCGGUUUUGUAAGUCAGUGGUGAAAGCCCAUCGCUCAACGGUGGAACGGCCAUUGAUACUGCAAGACUUGAAUUAUUAGGAAGUAACUAGAAUAUGUAGUGUAGCGGUGAAAUGCUUAGAUAUUACAUGGAAUACCAAUUGCGAAGGCAGGUUACUACUAAUGGAUUGACGCUGAUGGACGAAAGCGUGGGGAGCGAACAGG